rnacentral:rRNA from 1 species
AUUGAACGCUGGCGGCAUGCCUUACACAUGCAAGUCGAACGGCAGCACGGGAGCAAUCCUGGUGGCGAGUGGCGAACGGGUGAGUAAUAUAUCGGAAAGUGCACAGUCGUGGGGGAUAACGUAGCGAAAGCUACGCUAAUACCGCAUACGAUCUAUGGAUGAAAGCGGGGGAUCGCAAGACCUCGCGCGAUUGGAACGGCCGAUAUCAGAUUAGGUAGUUGGUGGGGGAAAGGCUCACCAAGCCGACGAUCUGUAGCUGGUCUGAGAGGACGACCAGCCACACUGCGACUGAGACACGGCCCAGACUCCUACGGGAGGCAGCAGUGGGGAAUUUUGGACAAUGGGCGCAAGCCUGAUCCAGCAAUGCCGCGUGCAGGAUGAAGGCCUUCGGGUUGUAAACUGCUUUUGUACUGAACGAAACGGCGAGCUCUAAUACAGUUUGCUAAUGACGGUACCGUAAGAAUAAGCACCGGCUAACUACGUGCCAGCCGCCGCCGUAA